UACGCUGGAGUGUUCUUCGCUUUCUUGCUCACUCAUGCAAAAAAUUUUUACGGCCAACCGUUUGGAAGAUGAAAUUACCAUUCUAGAAAAGCACCCUGAAUUGUUAACCCCCUCCGAUUUUCAAGGCAGGAAGAUAUCCCUUUUAAUCGGCGAGCCUUUCUUCUCUACGAGCCUGCUGCCCUGGCACAAUUUAUAUUUCUGGUUUGCCCGGACGGCUUUGGAGAGCCAUCUUUCCCGUGACGUGACCGUCCUUCCCCAAUCGGCUUCUCUCCACCUGAUGACGGUGGAAU